GUAGUACUUCCUCCAUCCGGAAAUACUUAUCGGAGGAAUGGAUGUAUCUAGACAUAUUUUAGUUUUAGAUGCAUCCAUUUAUAUCCAUUUUUGCGAUAAAUAUUUUCGGACAGAGGGAGUAUGUA
rnacentral:pre_miRNA from 1 species